UGGGGAAUCUUGCGCAAUGCACGACAGUGUGACGCAGCAACGCCGCGUGGGGGAAGAAGGCUUUCGGGUCGUAAACCCCUUUCAGGAGGGACGAAGCUUCGGCAGCGAAUAGCUGUCCGGAGUGACGGUACUUCCAUAAGAAGCCCCGGCUAACUACGUGCCAGCAGCCGCGGUAAUACGUAGGGGGCAAGCGUUGUCCGGAAUCAUUGGGCGUAAAGAGCGCGUAGGCGGCCAGAUAAGUCCGGUGUGAAAGUCACAGGCUCAACCUGUGAAUGCCGCUGGAAACUGUCUGGCUAGAGUCCGGUAGGGGCGAGUGGAAUUCCUGGUGUAGCGGUGAAAUGCGCAGAUAUCAGGAGGAACACCAAUGGCGAAGGCAGCUCGCUGGAACGGUACUGACGCUGAGGCGCGAAAGCGUGGGGAGCGAACAGGAUUAGAUACCCUGGUAGUCCACGCCGUAAAACGAUGGGUACUAGGUGUAGGAGGUGUCGACUCCU
rnacentral:rRNA from 1 species